CACUUCUAAGGAAGGCAGCAGGCGCGCAAAUUACCCAAUCCUGACUCAGGGAGGUAGUGACAAGAAAUAACAAUAAACCGGCUUAUGCCGGUUUAAUUGGAAUGAGUACAAUUUAAACAUCUUAACGAGGAACAAUUGGAGGGCAAGUCUGGUGCCAGCAGCCGCGGUAAUUCCAGCUCCAAUAGCGUAUACUAAAGUUGUUACAGUUAAAAAGCUCGUAGUUGGAUUUCUGUGGGGACGGAGCAGCCGGCCGCACAUCGCGGUUCGAGCUAGCGCUUUCCCUACAUCCUGCCGCGAACCGUGCUACCAUUAAUUUGGUGGCGCCGGGGAUCGGCUCGAUUACUUUGAGAAAAAUAGAGUGUUCAAAGCAGGCCACAUGCCUUGAAUAAGUUAGCAUGGAAUAAUAACUAAGGACUUCGGUUCUAUUUUGUUGGUGUCCGGGACUGAAGUAAUGAUUGAUAGGGACAGUUGGGGCGGUCUGUAUUCCAAAGCGAGAGGUGAAAUUCUUAGACCUUCGGAAGACAAACAGCUGCGAAAGCGUUCCGCAAGGAUGUUCCCUUUGCUCAAGAACGAAAGUUGGGGGAUCGAACACGAUCAGAUACCGUCGUACCUCUCAACUACAAACUAUACCAGCUAGGGAUCGACCAAACGUUAUUUUAUACCGACUUGGUCGGCACCUUAUGAGAAAUCAAAGCAUUUGGGUUCCGGGGGGAGUAUGGUCGCAAGGCUGAAACUUAAAGGAAUUGACGGAAGGGCACCACCAGCCGUGGAGCCUGUGGCUUAAUUUGACUCAACACGGGAAAACUUACCAGGUCCAGACAUAGUAAGGAUUGACAGAUUGAUAGCUCUUUCUUGAUUCUGUGGGUGGUGGUGCAUGGCCGUUCUUAGUUGGUGGAGUGAUUUGUCUGGUUAAUUCCGUUAACGAACGAGACCCCAGCCUGCUAAAUAGCGCGCGUGAGCUUUGCUCGCGGCGAGCUUCUUAGAGGGACUAUGAUGCGCGAUAGCACAUGGAAGUUUGGGGCAAUAACAGGUCUGUGAUGCCCUUAGAUGUUCUGGGCCGCACACGGGCUACACUGGCGCCUGCAACGAGCAUAUCAGCUGGCCCGAGAGGGUCUUGGCUAAUCUUUUGAACCGGCGCCGUGCUUGGGAUUGACCUUUGCAAUUGUUGGUCAUGCAACGAGGAAUGCCUUGUAAACGCGAGUCAUCAGCUCGCAUUGAAUACGUCCCUGCCCUUUGUACACACCGCCGUCGCUCCUACCGAUGAAUGUUCCGAUGAAAUUUUCGGAGAGUGCCUGUGAACUUGGCUCUGCCUUGCGAACGGGAAGCUCAAAGUCACUUAAAUCUGAACAUUUCGAGG
rnacentral:rRNA from 1 species